rnacentral:lncRNA from 1 species
GAGCCUGGGGUCUCGGCCACCGCUUCCACUCCGAGAUCCAGGAGUAGAUACAGACUUUUCUACCACAUACCCUGACCCUCUCCACCAGAGGAGGCGAGUGGAGCUGCGGGGUGGCUCAACCUCAAGCUGAAAGGACCUGGUUCGAGCCCCAUCUCCCCCACUCCCUGGUUGUGUUACUAGAACAGGUAGUUUAACACUCUGAAUUUUGGUUUUUCUCCCCUGUACAACAGCAUUCCCAUCUCUGAGUGCUGCAGAGAGUCACCCAAAUGGGCGCGUGCGCUGUUCAGUCUAGAGCCUGGCACGUAAGACAGCAGUACUUCAUCCUCCUCAUCAUCACUGACGGGGUCAUCAGUGACAUGGAGGAGACACGGCACGCCGUAGUGCAGGCCUCCAAGCUGCCCAUGUCCAUUAUCAUUGUGGGUGUGGGCAAUGCUGACUUUGCAGCCAUGGAGUUUCUAGAUGGGGAUGAGCCCCCAGCCUCCCCAGGAACAUGCACGUUCACCCUGCUUCCUCGUGGGUGGCCUUUUUUUUUUUUUUAAACCAGUCCACAUUUUUAUUUUUUACAACUGGACCUCCACCCCAACUUCCCCAGCCCAUAUGGGCUCCCUUUGUCAGAGUCAAUGAUGAUGCUUCCAGGACAAAACAACUCCCUCACCCCGCCCUCCUGCCACUCUAAGUAUUGAAUGUACUUUGUAUAAUUUUAGUGGAAUUAUUGUUAUCAAAGAGAAUAAAAUUUUUACAAUCGUAACCGGCUUUUUCUAAGUAACUAGCUGCAAGAAGGAAUGUAUCCCUACUGUGUACUUUGUAUGGUGGUCUGCUGUUUUUAUACUGUGACUAUGUUCUACUUGUCAAACUCAGGGUAAUAAAGGAGUUUCAGAUGUU